ACAACAGACAUUGGCCUGUGUCCGAUACUCUGGGCAGAGCCCAGUGUUACAGGCAGUGGCAUGUGAUAUGGCCAUUGGUGUCAGACCAUUGUGAAAAAACAACAUAGUACUCAGGUCGCAAAAUCAAUCUGUUCCAAAGCAAAGCCUUAUGCUGUUGUUAAAGAUAUCGCAGCAAAUAACAAGGAUUCUUCAGAUGACCUGUUUUCGACAGAAAAAUUGGAUGGAUGUUGGAAUGGCAACACAUUAGACCUACAUGGA